UGCGUAGGCGGGCUAAUAAGUCAGUGGUGAAAUAUUCCGGCUCAACCGGGAGACUGCCAUUGAUACUGUUAGUCUUGAGUUCGGCUGAGGUAGGCGGAAUGUGUAAUGUAGCGGUGAAAUGCUUAGAUAUUACACAGAACACCAAUUGCGUAGGCAGCUUACUAGACCGACACUGACGCUGAGGCACGAAAGCGUGGGGAGCGAACAGGAUUAGAUACCCUGGUAGUCC
rnacentral:rRNA from 1 species